GCAGAGCAUAAAAGGGGUGUGCUGGGAGGGUUAUGGUUUGGCAGGAGGAAUGAGAUAGGAAGGAAGCUGUGUCCAGUAGUAGAGAUGAAGUCUGAACAUUCUACUUGCUGGUGCUUGCCCAAUAUUUCUUCAUAUUGACUGGAUUGUGUCUCGUAAAUGCUGCUAAUCCAAUGAACACUGGGAUCCCUUGGAGGACAAUGGAGAGGUGGGCAAUACUGGAAGCUCCAGACCUGGCACCAAUGCCUAUAUCUUGAACAAACUACUCUGGCACACCUUUUCCAGCAUGGCUGAAACCUAUUGAAGUAUUCAACACAACCCUUUAGGGAAGGAAAGCAACUCCUGUCCUAAGGUAUGAAAUGUUCGAGAAGAUCCUAGGCUGAGAAUCAUAGAAUCAGAAUUGUUCAGGGUGGAAAAGACCGUAAAGAUCAUCAAGUCCAACCACAACCUAAUCAUACUACCCUAACUCUAACAUCCCUCUGCUAAAUCAUGUCCCUGAGCACCACAACCAAAUGGUUUUUAAAUACAUCCAGGGAUGGUGACUCAACCACCUUCCUGGGGAGCCUAUUCCAGUGCUUAACAACCCUUUCUGUAAAGAGGUUUUUCCUGAUAUCCAAACUAAACUUCCCCUGGCACAACCUAAGGCCAUUCAUUUCCCCUCGUCCUGUCACCUGUCACCAGUGAGAAGAGACCAACUCCACUCUCACUGUAAGCACCUUUCAGAUAUUGGAGGAGAGCAAUAAGGUCUCCCCUCAGCCUCCUUUUCCCCAAACUAAACAGACCCAGUUCCUUCAGUCUCUCCUCGUAGGGCAUAUUCCCCAAGCCCUUCACAAGCCUUGUUGCCCUUCUUUGGACCUGCUCCAGCACCUCAGUGUCCUUUCUGUACUGAGGUGUCCAAAACUGAACACAGUACUCGAGGUGAGGCCUCACCAGUGCUGAGUACAGGGGCAGGAUUACUUCCCUAGUCCUGCACACUACAUCACUCCUGAUACAAGCCAGGAUGCCAUUGGCCUUCUUGGUCACCUGGGCACACUGCUGGCUCAUAUUCAGCUGACUGUCCAUCAAUACACCAAGGUCCCUUUCCAUCAGGCAGCUUUCCAGUCACUCCUCCCCAAGCCUGUAGGAUUGCCUGGGGUUGUUGCGACCAAAAUGCGGAACCAGACACUUGGCCUUAUUGAAACUCAUACAGUCUACCUUAGCCCAUCGAUCCAGUCUAUCCAGGUCCCUCUGUAGUGCUCUUUUCCCCUCAGGCAGAUCAACACUCCCUCCCAGCUUGGUGUCAUCUGCAAAUUUACGGAGGGUGCACUCAAUCUCCUCAUCAGGAUCAUUAAUAAAGACAUUAAAUAGAAGCAGCCCCAGUACCAAGACCUGGGGGAUGCUGCUUGUGACUGGCCGCCAACUGGAUUUAACUCCAUUGACCACAACUCUCUGGGCCUGGCCACCCAGCAUUUCACACAGCGGAGAAUACACCCAUCCAAACCAUGGGCAGCCAGCUUCUCCACAAGUAUGUUGUGGGGGACAGUGUCAAAGGCUUUACUGAAGUCCAUGUAGACCACACUGACAGCCUUACCUUCAUCCACCAAGUGGGUCACCUUGUCAUAGAAUGAAAUCAGAUUUGUCAAACAGGAUCUACUGUUCAUAAACCCAUGCUGACUGGGCCUGAUCCCUUGAUUGACCUUUAAUUGGUCCAUGAUGGUUCCUGAGAUUAUUCCUUCCAUAACCUUCUCCAGCACUGAGUUGAGACUAAUAAGUCUGUAGCUACCAGGAUCAUCAUUCUGGCCCUUUUUGAAGAUGGAUGUCACAUUAUGGAGAAGCCUCUAUAAAGACUGCAGCUGUUCAUGACUGUCCUCUGAUCAGAAAAAAAAAAAAAAAAAAAAAAAAGAGCAGGAGGCAACUGUCUUAGGAAAGAAUGGUGGAGGAACAUUUCCUCAACUUAAAAGAUGGUACUCUGCUAGAAAGUACCAAUCAGUGUGCGACUGUACCCUGUGUUUAUCUCUUGGGUAGCUUGGUUCUGCAGUAAAUGUAUGUAAAGUGCCCCAAACUGUGGAACCCUCACAUAGACAAAGUGUAGAAGGAACUUAAUACCAAUAUUAAUAAAGCCUCAGUGAACACAGCAGCCCGUGACUUACUGCAGAGUGCAGAAUUCUGCUACACAGCAAAAUUUCUCUGCUGAGGAAAAAAAAACAGAAAGCUCCAGUACUUCUACCGUCAGAGACUGAUCUUUGGCAUGGUAUUUUCUAAAGAAAUGCUUGAGGUUGGAACUUUCUUUUCCCUGUUAUUUGCCAGAAACCAGACGUGUCAGUUUUCCAGUGUUUUAAAUCAGGGAUGUAUGAAAUUAAAUGGGACUCUGGUGACCUAGGGGACCACAAGGCAAUGCAGAGCAGUUUGGCAUCUGGAAGGGCAUUAUUUUGAGAUCAGUAAAGUAGUGUGUGGGAUGUCCACUUGAUCUUCUGGUUGAACUUGGGUUACAGUGCACUUUAGUUGUUUUAGAAACACAAGAUGCAGAAUGGCAUUUGUUUUUUUGAAGUUUGCUGUUAGAAAAAUAAAACUCUAAUGAGUAAAAUACAGCAGUGUUUUCUCAUUUCUAUUUGACCUAUUAAGUGCCAGAUCUACCAUAUAAUACAUUAUUUGAUAUAAACAGUUAUUCACAUACCUACCCAAGUAACGUAUAUGUAUAGACAGUGCCUGAGAAGUUGAUGUCUGUCUUUUUAAACAGGUUUAAAUGGCCCUGGAGCAUUCUCCAUCUUCUUCUGGAAAGCAAACCUUUUCCUGGUUUUAUGUCUCACAGCCACAAGAUGAGGUCCAAAAGGAAAAAUGAUAGGAGUACGAUGCUUGAGAUUCACAUUGAGAAUCAGCACUGAUUGCUACAACUAUGUACUAAACAAAGUUUAUGUUUUUUUUUUUUUUUUGUCUGUUUGCAUCAAUUAACAUUUGUAUAUGUGAUAAUACAAGUGAUCCCAAUAUGUAACUAAACUUUCAUUGUGAGAUCUGGGAUAUUUUUCAGUUUUUAGUAAGAAUAUAUUUACUUUGUGGCAUUUAUUGUUUAGAGACACUGAUCUACUGAUAUUUCAAAAGUAAUAAAUAAAUAAAUAAAUAUUUACAUUAGGAUGAUAACUAAAAUAAAGAUUUAAUGCAGAAAAUUGAUCAAUAAAUAAAUAAAUAAAUAAAUAAAUAAAUUCAGCAGCAAAAUUACUUAAAACAUCCUGAAAAUAGAAAAUGAAGAGUUCUACUUCCAAAAUAUCUCUUGGAAAAUACUUUUUCUUUAAUAAUCUGAUAGUGAACUGCAAAUUCUGAAUUUAAAAUUUAAUUUUCAUUCAAGUAGCAUAUUUUUAUAUGAAGAACUUAUGUUCUGUUGAUUUCUUCUUUUGUAUUUGGCAAUAUUGAAAACAGAUGCUCUGUUAAGCAUAACCAAGGGAAAGUUGUAACAUAAAUAAUAUACUAACCUAAUUAAAGUGUAUCUUUUAAAAUCUUGAUAAACUUAGUGGAGUCUGACUGUGAAAAAGAUCCAAAAUCCUUCAUGGAAAGGAAGGUUGACAAGAUUCACCAAAUGAUCAUUUUCUAAUGUAUCAAACAUAUCUGAUUGGGGUGCACUAAAUAGCUGGAACCAAAUUAAGCAUGUGUUAAAUUUAAUUUCAGUGAAAGGGGCUGAAACUAACUUUUUUUUUUUUUUUUUUAAACAGGCUUCAUCAUUCUUUCAUACACUGAAUACUUGCUGCAGUAUUUAUAAUUUGGUGUGUUCCUUAACCAUGAUUUGGUAUUUCAGAGAGUUCGCUUGCUCUGGUAGAACUUGAAAACAAAAGAGAAAGAACUCAGUUCUUACAUAUUUUCACUGGUAUACCAUUUUUUGCUGUGUACCACAUAUUUUCACUUCUCAAAGCCACCAUGCAAGAUGAUAGCUGCUGUCCUUGAAGAAAUCAGUGUUUGUUGCUUUAAUUUUGCUGUUAAACUGGCACUUUGUCAUUUCAGCUCAUCAUGUUAUGCAUGUAAUAAUGUGACAUGCUUAACUGCUAGCUUCAAGCUGAACACUUAAUAUUAGAUACACCUACAGUACUUUUAUUUCAGAAAGCUGCAUUUAGUCCUCAGAGCAUCUUUCUUCUCUGGAAAGACAAAGGCCAGGACCUGCAUUUUUUGACAUGGACAGUUUUGUUUUUACAUGUUCUGAGUAUAUAAAAACAUGAAUGACAGGAGGCAAUCCCACUCUAAGUGUCCUAUCAAAAGUAAAAGGUCACUGUGGAUUUUCAUAUGUAUGUGAGUAUGUGUGUUAGUGUGUGCUUUCAUUUGUGUUUCUAUGCUAAAUGUUGUCAAGUAUGUUACAGAGGUCAUUUGUGAUUCAUAGAAGCACUGCUCAGGGAUUUACAGAGUCCUCAAAUUCCAGUCUGUGGAUAUGCCAAGGAAUCUACCAGUUUUUUGAAUGCCUUACUCAAUAAUCUGUUUUUAAUACUUUUUUUCCUUGCAAUACGUUUUCACUAAAUUUCAAACAUGUUCAGUAAUUUGCUGAUCAGGAGAUAUUUUAAUCACUCUGAAAAAUAAUAAGUGUCCAUUAAAUUAAUUUUUGUUACAAGGUAAUAAUGGAAAAACAAAUGUUCUCCCCCAGAGCUGGUUGUGGUGAAGGCACACCUACUUACAGAAUUCUCAGCUCACUGCAGCAGCAGCUGCAGUGAAUCAUUGAGAAAUCAUUGCAGAAGUUCCAGCACCAGAACACAGCAAAGGGCAUCUAUAGGCACAGGUGUGCGCAGCUUCACAUUGACUGAAAAUUUAGGGCUCUCUAUAUCAAAAGCUGAAUCUGUCUAGGUUUGUGUUUGCAACUUGGAUAAGUAUCUGCAGCUGGCUAUAUUGGAAGAACAUAAUGAAAAAAAAAAAAGAAUUAAGGCAUCAGAACAUUAUAAAAACUCUGUAAUAGGAAACCAGAGUUGUUGUACAAGUGUAUAGUUGUGUUCUUACAGUCACCACUGUUGUCUCUUUGAUCCUGCAACAACAAUCACAGUCCAUGAAAGACAUCCAUACUCUGUUUGCACACAUAUUACCAGGCAUGUACAGUUUCAUGAACUGAGUGUGAUAUCUUCUUCAUUCUUCUUCACCCAGCUAUGUCUCUACAUCUUGUACCUGCAGCAGUCUCACCUCAUGUCCUCUUUUCUGUGAGCAUUUUACAGAUGAAGUUCACCAUGUCUGCUCCCUCAUCAAACAAACCUCCCUUAUCAACAAUGUCUUUUUUCAUUCAGAACAUAACUAAUUGAGAGAUCUGAUAAUAAGAUUCUAGCUGUUAAGGAUCUCCCAAGCUAAUAAGGGGUGACAAUGAAAGAGAAAAAACACAGAUUUGCACAUUGACUCUGGCCCACAACCCAGCUGAACCUGUCUUUCUUUUGAUGGUUAGAAGAAACAAGAAUGGCUUAGGAGUUUAUGGCUCUUUUAGCCCUCCCUGAUGAUCUUUUGAGGGAAAGGAUAAGGAGUAAUUACAGAGAGGUUACUUUAGAAUCAUGAAGGGAGUCUCUCUGUACUUGUAAACUGUUUGAAUUGCAUUUCUGUCAGUCAUUUACAAUUGACCAUAUCUAGCUGAGGUUUCAAGCACAGAUUUAUAUACUUACCUGGGCAAAUGUAUUUCAGUCACUUUAAAAGUAGUUGUGGAUUAUAAUCCCCUUAUGCCCAUUUCUUAAAUCAAAUGUAAUGCUUUCGAAAUAGAUUCAACACUUUUGAGUUAUUCCCACCCCCCACAAUCAUGUUUGAUUUGGUUAAUCAAGGUUGAACAGUAGGCUAAUACUGGAAGGUCUUUUAAGUAAAAUAGUUUCUGUAUUAAUGAGAUCCAGUCCAGUUCAAAUUAAAAAAAGAAUUUUUUUUUUUUUUUUUGAGGGAAAUGUCCUUUCUCCUGUUAUUAAAAUGAAUGGGAGCAGUGAGAUUUUUUAAGAGGGUUUUUUUUUUUUUUUUUUUUUUUUUUUCCCCAGCCUAAUUGACUUGGAUUUUGCUCAUGUAUGGUAGGUUAUGUUUUCUCAUUGUAGAAGCUUUUUCCUGCUAAAAUCAUUCCUUUCACUAAUGAGAUCCAUCCUGAUAUGACAGGAAGACAGCUCUUAAAACACCCACCGUUUUCUCCCAUUCAUUUGAAUAGCAGCAAAGGGACAUCUUUUAAAGUAAUUUUUAUCAGUGAGAUUGAGCUGAAUCUCAUUAAUAAAGAAAUGAUUUUACUCAAAAGAGCCUUCACAGUUGAGCUAUAACUCAGAUUAGUGAGAUCUAGCCUGAUUAUAACUUUAUAAGACAUUGUACUUCUGCCAUUCAAAGCAUGCAUCAGCUAUGUAGGGACCAUUGAUUCCUGCAAAGGCUGUUUCAGAAGGGUGGGUGAGAAAGGUGUCUGGAGGUGUCUUUCUCAUUUUUUCAUGAACAUGGAAAGUGAAUUCUUCCUUCUGUAUAUUAAGACUGGUUUUCACUAUAUGUAUUUUUAUUUUGAAGAGCAUAAGGGUGACUGAAAUGAAGAUGUAAGGUGAAGAAAGAGCUCAAUACCAUCCAGUGGAGGAUUGUCCAGGUACCAGGACACCACUAUUUCAUGGUAAAUUCUUUAUGCUGACAUUUAAUUCACAAUAAAUUUGGUUAAUGCACAGAACACUGAAUAUGCAUGAAAACAGCAAGCCUAAGAAGUUAAACAAUCACAACAGAACUUCACAGCAUAGCAAAGUGUUGCAUACAACACCAAAAAGGCAUAUAAAAAAGAAAUGAUGUUAUAUAAGCAGCUUUUCCACUCUAUGAAUCCCUGAAUGAGGCUUCUUAUUAGUUGUUUUCCUAGAAGCAGCUAUGUCCAACCUGAACCACGAGCAGCUACAUCAAGUUGGACUAAGUUAAGAAUACCCUACUAAAUACUACCCAUACUAAAACAUAGAACAUCUUUAUGGAGGGAACCAAGAUUGUCUUGAAUGAUAUUUUGAGAAUAUCAAAUUAAUAGGCACACCACCUUGAGAAACAGCUGCUAGUUGAAACCUCAUGUCAAUAAGGAUGUCUGAAAGACCAACUGGCCACACCUGGGAAGGUGUAACCAGAGGUUAUAACAUGGGCAGAUCACAAAAGGGAAAAAAUGCAUUGGUCAGAGUGAGUUUGAGGUAUUAGGUGGUGAUAGAGUUUACAGUAGUAAGAGAUAUGGGGAAAGUGAAGGAAGAUUUUCUAAUUCAGAAGGAUUGCAUGUGAAUGAUGACAGGCAAUGGAAGCUCUAGUGCUGGGCAGCAAAUCAGCUCUAGGGUUGAGGUUAGUCACUGAAAGGCUUGCUACUUGCAUAGCAGUACUUCUACAGACAUGUUUUUGCUCCAGAAACUGUUAUAUUGCAUACCCUAUGGAAAAAGUGUAGUCUUUGCAGGGGUUUUCAUAAUAUUCUAUUCCCUACAGGAGAGCAAAAUUCUAUUUGUUUUGCUAUAUUUAGCAUGGUGAGUGUCAUCCCCCCCAACUUUCAGUCUCCCAACCUUCACUAUGACUGAAAGAUUAAACUUGAGAGUCUUUUAUGAGCUCAUAAACAAAUUAAAAAUGACAAUGAGGUCUAGAUUGCUCAGGUUAUUUGUGUUAUGAGCUGUCAUUUCUUAGGUGAAGAUCUCUGUUUUGUGUAGAGUUAGUACCCCAGAGAAAUAAGCCAGACCUUCCUACUCUCAGCUGCACAUACCUUUGUUUUCUGCAGAAGGAACCAAGAGUAGCUGAGAAGGGCUCUGAUAGUUCAGAGACAGAGAGUGUUUGACAUAAUUUUGCAUAGAACCUUCUUGCUUUACCACCUCCUCCCUUAAGUGCACACUACAUUCAUUCACACAUUAAAAAUUGAAGUGUAAUAUUCUGCUGCCUGGUCUUCUUAGACAUUGUCUUUGUUCAGUUCUUAGUCACUGCUGGAAUGUGCCAAGCAAUGAAAUGUCAGUCUUUGAAAUAUAGUUCUUAGGAGAAUUAUUUCUCUUAAGCAAGUUUAACUUUAGCUUAUAAUAAUAUUUAAUUAUGUCCUAUUUAGUAUUGUUCCCAUUUUGCUUCUAUCAGCAUUCAUUAUGAAUGCCACGUUGCAUCUCAACCCCUCUGCCUCUGAAAUUAAUGUCAAUGCCAAUAUGUGGGUAUUACUAAAUACAGAGAAUGCAUAAGAAUCAAUUCAGCCAGCACUCCUCCACUUUCUCCGAAUUCAUUGUGUCACCUCCGCCUCCAGUGGCCUGUCUUGAAGAGCCCCUAGGUAAUUCUUGAAUACAUGGCACUGCUGCCCCCAGGCUCCCUGCAAUGCAGUUGUGCAAAGUACCCAUUCUUCUGUGUGUGUGUGUGAGAAUAUUUGUAAGCCAAGCAAGAGGAAAACGCCUGAUAUUUUCAUGAGCAUAUGAACAUUUGAUCCAGAGGGAAGGUUCGCAUUUUCCACCUCUGCUUUUUAAAGUGGAAAUUUUCACCUCUGGGCUAAAUAGUUAUUCUGUUGUGAGCCUGCUUCAGGCAGUAAUUAGGGGUGGAGGAGCCUUAAAGGCCAGGUUUGGCUGACUAUUGUAAAGGACUGGACAUUAAGCUGAAAUCUGAAUUGUUUUCUGCGUAGAAUCUUAACACAGAACAGCAUUGUGACCCUUUGUGCUGCCCAAGCCCAUAAAUCCCACAAGGUAUUUUCAUUCUCACCUAUGUACUUCUCAGCCUGCUAAUGUCGCAGUGGGUGAAAAAGAUCUAUCAUAUUGACAGAAAAUAAAUGUAGGAAAUGUUAAAAAGGGUUUAAUGCCUUCUCAGCUAUAUUCUCACAGUUUUAUAUAUUUUUUUAAAUGUAAAUAAUUCCAGAUAUACAUGGGGAUGCUGAAAAGAUAGUAAGAUUAGGCUAGCUGACAACAGUCUCAAAGAGGAAGAUUUUGCAAAGAUUUCUUUCCUACCUAAAAAUCCAGCAUCUUUGUCCCUACUUCUGAGGUCUGUGUGCAGUGACUGGUGUCUGACAGCCAGUGCCAGUUGUCUCUGAUGAGUUCACAGGUCCAUCAUUUCAAGGAAGGGUAAAAGGUAGAAGAGAAAAGGCAUUAUACACUUUCCAAUGCUUUAGGUAUCUCUUAAGAAAAAUGAAAAUAUUCCUACAGAACUGUUGUGUCAUUUUCUAAGUUGUUGGACCCCAUUCCUGAGUGAGGGCUUUCUGCAUACAUUUGUGAACUGAGACUUUCUUCAUAAAGAAAGAUGAAGAUACACUAAUUAGUUGUUAGCUCAGUCUGUUUUUUACCAGUUUCUCUCAGUCCAUGAAUAAGAAGUGAAUGAGCAGAUUAAUUCCUUUCGCUUUCCCAUUUGGAAAGUCAAUUUUGUUUGUAGUUUGUUAACAAAUGGAAUUUUAAUUUAUUUGACAGAAAUCAAAUAUCCUGGUUUUUAUCAUCUUGAUUUAAAAAAAAUUAUUAAGAAUUGCAGUGUUUGUGGCAAUAAACCUUCAUUUAAGUCCUAAUGGAAAUUUUUAUAUAUAUGUAUAUACAUAUAUAGAAAGAUAGAUAGAUAGAUAGAUAGAUAUACUUAACUAAUGGUUCUAAUUGAUUUAAGUGGUAGCCAUUUUUAAGUGGCCUGCUAUUGGAAUGGAUGUUAGAUAAUAAAAAGUUGGACACUAAAUCUUUAGGAGACUUUCAUGUACAAAUCUACACUUCAACUGUGAAAUUGUUCUAAUUCUUGAGUUAUCAUAUCAGAAGUUUUAAAUCUGCAAAAGAUAAAGAAUAAAGAAUAUGUCCCAAGUUGCAUGUUCUCUUCACCUUCUCCUGUAUUACACCCCCUCCACAAGAAUCAAAGGCCUCUCUCCAGUACCUUGUUUACAAAUGCAGAUGCCAUGGCAACUUGCAGUAUAUUUGUUCUAACAUUUGAACGUAUGUUGAACUUUUAAAUAUAGCUCACAAGACAUUUAGCCAAAUUAAUUGCUCUACAAAGUAGUUUUGGAAUUAUAAAGAAGAGAACAGAUCGAACUUCUGAUUAGAGGAUGUUUAUGGGCAAGCUGCUAUAUGGAACAAUUCUGAUACAGAAGCUCCAAGACAGUUGCCGCAUAGUAUGAGUAUAGUUCUAUAAACCAUAGAAACAAUACCAAUUAUAGUCAUCACAUUGUUGAAAUGUGUACUCAAACUUUUAUGCACAUGAGAUAGUCGAACCUAUAAUAUUUUCUAACUACAUACCCAAUUAUUAUUCAACAUAAAACUACUAUUCCUAUUCACAUUAUUCUGAAUAUAAUUCAUAUUUGUUGCAUUUGUUUAUAUGAAAACUGGCUUUAAGGAACAAGAACACUGUGCAAGCCAAAUCUGUUGCAAAUAAUUCCACUGGAUUUCAGUAAGCUCCUCUGACUGGUGUUAUUUGAAGUUCUAGGCUGAAGUGUUUUGCAGGCAUUUAUUAACUUUACUAAGACUUGUGAAAACGUGAGACUGUUCUGCAAUGUUCAUUGCAGUGAUGUUAGAGCAAAAAAGAAGUAGGGCUAUUAGAUGUAAUGUAAAGGAAUUUUUUUACAGGUCGCAGUGAAUACACAUGAUUCUCAUGUGCUUACACACAAGCUAUCAACACAAGGACUAAACAUCCUACAGUUUCCCUAAAAUUGUGUCUUGAGCAACUCAGCAUGGAAAGCAGGUGAGGUGACUGCACUACAGUGUGUUUUUAUUUGAUAGCUAUUUUUUUUCCCUUGUGUGUAGCUUAUUCAGAAACAUGUUUCUGAAGAAAAUCUGUUUUAUCUGGAAUUUGUCUGAAUGAUACAAUUGUGAUGUUACCAGCAGCGAUGUCCAUGAUACCAACCCUAACCACUUAGCAAUCAUCAAGUAAGUGUAAUUGCACUAGUUGAUUUAUUUCAUCUACAGAUUAUGUAAUUGCUUAUUAAAAAAAUUGCUAGGAGCAAUCGUCUCCAUCCAUGCUAGUAACCAUGUAUUAUAAUCAUGCCAGUAGGUGAAAAUACAUAGAAUUUCCUUCCUCUUUAAGCUAGAAGACUCUCCACCUAUGUAAAACUUUCUUACUUAGGGGGGAAAACAAAUGACUUCUGAGCUACUUACAGUAAAAUCAACAUACUUGCAAUUCAUUUUCCACUGUACAUUGUGCCUAUGGAUAAAAACAUUCAAAACCAGCUGAAUUUCUCUAAGUGCCCAAUAAGCAUUUAAGUAUUAGACCUAAGGUUAUUUGUUAUUUUAUACUGUAUAAAGGUGGGAUAAAAAAUAAAAACUAGAAUGAAAUACCUAGAGACAUCAGGACCACUAGCUGUGCUGGAUAUAAUUUCCAUUUUCCUUUUCUAACCAUGAAUUCACAUGACUGAAAUGUUUCUUGUAUGUGAUAUAAUAAAGACUACAGUGAAACCUUGUUUCCUCUUAGACGGUAAUGUGUGAUAUCAUGGCAAUGACAAGCAUGAAUGAGAUGCCAACAUUUGGCACUCUUUGGUGAGUAGUGAAAACAUUAUCAGUGAGAGGUGUCCAGCAGCGUUAAAGAGUAGCCGAAUCAGGACAAGUUCAUGUAUGAGUCAACAUCAACUUGAUAGAAUUUCUGCUUUUGGCAGUUAAUGUUGACAAUUAGUACAGUGCCCUUAUUAUAUAUGCGAGGGACUUGAGUUCCUUGAGUGGACAAAGAGUACAAAAACCAAGGAAACAGCUGUUGGGCACAUAAAUGUCUUGUUGGAAGACAUGAAUAUAUUUGGAAAGAUAGGUUUGUGUUGCUGGCCUUAAUCCCUUCCCUUAAGUAUCUUCUUUCUGAUGGUCAGACAUAAUAGUGCAACUGAAUAAAGGGAAGCAUUUUUGACUGGCUAGUGUACAUCAGGUCCCAUAUACAUACUGACUGAAUUCACGUUACUUGUCACUUGAUACAGUUAUGAGAUCUGAAUGAUUUUCAGUCACUUCAGUGAAGGCUGUAUUUGAAACCUGGUCCCAAAGCCGCAAGGCAAGUGUAUUACAUACCUGUCAACUAACAAGACUUGCCAAAAUGAAUCUACUCAUAUGAACACAUGAUCAUUAUUGCUGUUCACACUGUGAAACACUACACACUGUGACAAAAGUAGAAAGCAAGAGGAUUAUUAUGCUAGACAGUCACUUAUUAAAUAUAUUUAUUGUGGAUAAAUGAAUAUUCCUUUACAACAAAAAAUGUAAGCUGUUGAUAAAUUUCUAGUAUUGAAAAAUGUGAUAUGGGCAAUUUAGUAAAACUUGACCUUAUUCUUUUGUAAAGAAUAAGCAAAUAUUUACAUUCCCUUGACUGAACAAAGAUUUUUUGUGCUGAAGACUACUAAAUAUUCCACACAACAAGCACAAGUAGGAGCAAAUGAAUUCAGCAAGCACUGGGACUACUCAGGCCAAAUUUCUUUACCUUUUCAUUGAAUAUUUAAUCAUUAAUUACAUCUGAGUUAUAAACUACUUACUAGUUAAAAAAAAUUGUCACAUCAGGGUAAUGUUUGUACACUGCAUGAAUUUUAUAUGUUUGCAUGAAAAGGAUGGAUUAGUGAAAUGGUGAACAAGACAUUCACUGAAAAAGAGCUCCUUGGGAUGGAAUUCUGAAAUGUACUUUCCUAUAUUCAGUUUACACAGAAGAGAGGAAAAUCUAAAGGUAUACAACAAAAAGAUUUAGAAGUUUGUUCUACUGUCAAGUCUAGAAAAUUGACACUCUUCCAGAUGUCUUCAAAAACAUGUGGACUAAGAGUUGUAUAGUAAGACUAAGGAGUUGUCAAAGAUUCCAGCUAGCCACAUGAGAAUUAAUGUAACAGAAACUGACCAGGUCCUUGAACAAUGUUAGUUAAUCAUAUUUCCAAUAAAUAAAUAAAUAAAUAAAUAAAUAAAUAAAUAAAUAAAUAAAAAUUAUGAGCAGAAAAAUGCAAAAUGCUUUAGAAUGCCUCAAAAAGAAUAUGAAAUGUUGUAUUUGAAGAUCUAUACCGCAAAUUAACACUAUAGUUGAUAAAAUGUUAGUUUAUCUGCAAAGUGCUAAUCUACUUCAUACUAUUUCUUCUUACAGAUUUCAUUAAUUUGAAGAUAUAUUUGCUCCCUCAAAGAUGAAAAUGUUAAUAGAAAUGAGAGUUAAAACUCACUGAGUUCAUUAGGCUCCCCAAUUCUCCUUUGGUUCUGAGUAACAUCUCUUAGAAGCAUUUCUUUUUCUACAAGAAGAAAGUAGAAAUAAAUCUAUUCAUUGCUAUUGAAAAACUGACUACAAAUAGCUGUGAGUAGUUUUGUUUGAGUUGUAUCUGGUAUGAAUGACAACUUCAAAAAGUAAUGUGUAAUGUUGAGCAUCCUCAUGGUUUCUAUGUUAAAGUUUCUAGUGAAUAGUUUAGAAGAUAGAAAUUGUACAGCUUAUAAACUUACUAAGGUUUUGUGCAAAAAAUCGGAGUGGUGUUUGAAUAAUUAGUUAAGGAUGUAAUGCAAGAUAAAUAAUAAACAAAAAUUUUGAUAAAAUCAAGUUUUUUUAAUCACUUUCACAGAACAAGAGAAAAUAUCACCUUUUUUUUUUUUUUUUUUUCUAAUUUGAGUCUCCUAUCUUAAAGGAAAGUUAUUAUUUUCAUGAUCAUGGCUCAGCCACAGCUAUCUUAAACACUAAUGCUUUUCUCCAGUGUUUCAUGGAUUAUGAGUCCUUGGUACAAAAACUAGACUGAACUGGCUACUAAUUAUCUCCUCCUUGUUCUGCUGGGUCUUUCUAUAGCUCUUGUCACUACAAGACCCAGAUGACUUCUGAAAAUUUUCAUUGACUAUAGAACUUCCUCUAAUUAAAAAAUAAAUAAAUAGAAAAAAACAAAGCAGAUUAAUUUCCAAGUAAUCCUUCUCUGUGAAAUCUUUUCAGUUCCAUCAGUUCUUUUGUCUAGCUUACAUGUUAAGUUAAGCAUAGGUAUUGAUAGUCACAUCAAACGGCGCUGUCAAGGUUAAAUAAGUAAUGGUCCUUCAUUUUAUUUUGUACAAGACCUGGAUUUUAUUCUCAUGCCUUUCCAUACAGUCAAAUUAUAUGGGUAUUUUGAUAGACAUGAUUAUUGAAGGAGAUCAUUAAAGAAGUUUUGAUCGAAGGCACUCUGGAUUGUAGUGACCAUACCCUAAAUGAGUUCACAAUCUUAGGGAAUAUGGCCCUGGCAAAAAGCAGAGUCAGAAUGUAGAACUUCAGGAGAGUGAACUCCUGGCUUUUUAAGGAAUUAUUAAAUUGGAUCCCCUGGAAGACUGUCCUUAAAGACAUAGUAAUGGAAUAGAGGUGGCAUCUCUUUGAAGACAUCUUUCUGAGAGGACAAAAGCUCUGCACUCCCGAGCGUAAGAAAUCAAGCAGAGAAGGCUGGAAACUGGUAUAACUAAGCAAGAAUCUGCUGGACAAACUGAAGGAAAUAAAGGAAAAGAACAGGCAGUGGAAGCAGGGACACACGGCGUAGGAAGAAAACAGGGAUGACAUCUGAACAUGCAGAGUUUCAACCAUCAGGAAAGCCAAAGUGAGUUCUUUGCCUCAGUCUUCCCAGUCAGUCAGGCUUCCCAUGCCUCUUACAUUCCUGAAUCUCUAGGCAGGGGUUGGGGUAGCAAUAUCCAAGCAAUAGGAAGUCCAAGAUUACCUCAUAAGACUGAAUGUGUGUAAGUCUAUGGGACUGAAUGGCAUGUACCCCAGGGACCUGAUGGAACUGGAUGAUAUGGUUGCCAAGGCACUCUCCAUCAUAUUUGAAAAGUCAUGGCUGUAAGGCAAAGUACUUAGUGACUGAAAAAAAAAAAGGAAGCAUCACUCCCAUUUUCACAAAAGGGAGAAAGGAAGACCUGGGGAACUACAAGCUAGUGAGCCUAAUCUCUGUUCCAGGGAAGAUCAUGAGGAGAAGAUUUUAGAAGCUAUGUCACAGGCACAUGUGAGUUGAGGAGGUGAUCUGAGACAGCCAGCACAGCUUCACCAUGGGCAGAUGGUGCCAGACAAAUCUGGUGGCCUUACAUGAUGGAGUGACAGCAUUGGUGAGAAAAAGAAGUGCAACUGAUGUCUGCUACAUGGACUUGUGUAAAGCCUUUGGUAUGGUUCCACAUCACAUUCUUAUCUCAUAAUUAUAUAGAUUUGACGGGUGUACUCUGGUGAAUUAAGAAUUCUUUGGAUGGUCACAUGCAGAGGGUUGUUGUUAAUGUUGCUGUGUUCAGGUGGCAGGUCAUGGGUGGAGCUGCUCAGUGGUCUAUCUUGUGUGACAGAACAAGGGGAAAUGGCUUCAGAUUUAAAGAGGGGAGAUUUAGGUUAGAUGUUAAGCAGAAAUUCUUUACUCAGAGGGUGGUGAGGCACUAGACACAACCAAAGAGGUUGUGGAUGCUCCAUCCCUGGAGACAUUCAAGGCCAGAUUGGAUGGGAUCCUGAGCAGCUGAUCUGGUGGGUGGCAGCCCUGAUCAUGGCAGGGGUUGCAACUACAUGAUGUUUAACAUCCCUUCCAAUCUUAGCCAUUAUGUGAUUAAUUCUAUAAUUAUUAUUCCACUAGAGAACAUGGAAUGGGAGACAAUAAGUAACUGGAUUAGUAAGGUGAUUUGCUAUAAAAUGCACACUUACUGAUCUGCAGUCUUACAUCCUCACAUCCAUUUGUUUUAAGUCCUGUAGUGACAGUAAUGAAAUAUAAACUGGGACCUCCUCACAUCAUUCUACAGCUAGAAGAAUAUAAAGCAGACAAUAACACAAAAGUCAAGCCCAUACAUGCAAAAUAUGCCUGCAAAUUUAGGACCUUCCAGUUCAGCAUAUAUAAAUUAGUCAUCUUCUGUUUUAGAUACAGAAAGGCUUUUCCCUCACAAGGCUAUAUCAUACUGUUAUGCUUGGCACAAAACACUGCCAGGAUAACUUUGGGAAGAUAUUUGAUUUUAAAAGUUUUUGUUACGAAUCAGACAAGUAAGCAAGAAAUCACAAAAUCACAUAUCACUCCUGAUUCUAAAUAAUUCAGUGUUUGGUACAAGGUAUUCUAAUAUCUUUAAAGAGUCGACUAAGUAUCAUUAUACUGUUGUGCAUUGCCUUGAAAAACAGAGAAGCAACUCAAAAUUGCAAAAAAAUAUAUGAGCAAAGUACAGAUGAAAAUGAGUCUCCCCAAAUUUUAAGAUAUUGAUUUAUUAUAUCAAAGUAGAUGAUUAAUUACUGCUGUCACAAGAGCUUUGUGCACAGAUACAAACUUAUGUAUGUAUGGAAAAAUCCCAUUUUAUCUUCCAGAGGAGAAAUAUCAGUUUUGUGACUGAGGAUAGCAAGAUUGGAUAAGAAUCAGUUUACAAUUAACUACUAUUUACCAUUUAUAUACUUUUUUCCUUCAUAUCUUUAUAAAUAUUUCAGAGACUUAUUUUUGUCCCUUCGCAUUUUCACCUUUGAAGAACUAUAUUUAGGUUCAGUGAAUAUCUGUAGUAAAAUCAGAUUUAGACCUAGUAUAAAUAAACAUCUGAAAUCUUCAAAACCUUCUACAUAUUGUGCUACACAUGUCUGUGAAGGGGGAGAGAGAAAUUAUGCAACUAAUAAAUGAUUUAAGAAUGUGAAAUGAUUUUGAAUUGGUCUGGUCAACAAGGAAAGCAGGCAUUUUUCUAAGGUAUCUAUCAUAUAAGUAUUGUAGAUUUUUUCCUACUUCUAUUGGCAGCUUCUCUUAGCCUGCUAUCAAUAUAUUCCUUUUGUUUGUGACACAAAAGGCUUCCCACUAUAAUUUAGCAGGUUUUAUUUUCAAAGAAAAAUCUUGCAUUCUUUCUCUCUCCGUGUAUGCAUAACCUUUAUGAGGAAAGCUUUUACUUAGUGGGUGUUUUUUUGUUGUUUUGUUGUUGCUGUUUUUUUUUUUUUUUUUAAUUUCACAUUUACUAAUAAUAUGCUUUUCAGAAAAAGUAGGUGCUUUUACAGCAUCAUACAAGUGCUAUGUUUUGAAGGAGCAAUAUAGCAGUAUGUAUCUUUUUGCCCUUUGAUGUAAAUUCGUGAGGAAGAUAGAUUAUAGCAUCAAGAUGUUUCUCUGUGAGUAAUAAACUACCGAGCACAAAGUUCAUGGCUGAGAAUUGUGUGGGAUACAAGUGACUACCUUCACUACAAUCAAUUAUUAGGAUGAUUAUAUUGUGUCUGGAGAAUAUGAUGCUAAUGACUAGCUAACGCUUAGAAUACACACUCUUGACUUGAAAACCAAUGACAGUUAAAUGCAGCAAAGGGAAAGGCCUAUAUGUUGAGCUAGCAGCUCUCUAGUGUUGAUAAUGAAUAAUUAAAAAUAACAGUCUUUAUGUGUGGCUUGACAGUAUACAUGUCCUUUUAGUAUAUUCCGCUUUGUAAAGAACUUGGCACAAUGACAGCCAAAGAAAGGCAUCUUACCGCAUCCUGUACAGAAACUGUAUAGGAAAGCAGGGAGUUAAACACCCUCACUGCUGGGAGGGCCUAAGCAGGAUUAGCUAUGUAUUUACUGCUAACCUUCUACUACUCUGUCUUCUAAACAAAUAAAUAAUUGAAACCCAUUAUGUCUUUUAGGGGAGUUGCUCACAUGCUUUCUAUAUUCACAUCAAAGCAGAGAUCAGUGUCAAAGAGGCAGCCACAUUUAGCUGAGUCUCUCGGAGACUACUGAUUAAUUAGUUUUGCAUUUUGGAAGUGCAUCCAAAGAUGUAAAAUAGCGUUUGUUUUUACUAUUGCCAAAACUUGUUUAGGAGCUCUCUGGAGGGUGACGGUGAUGUACUCAAGAUGGUUGUGAAAGAAAAGGGCAUACAGUUCAGGUGCCAGAAAUCUCCAACCCCUUCCCUCCCCCCCCCCUCCCCCCCCCCCCCAUUUCCCCCUUAAGUUUCUGCAUGAGUGUCCAGAGGGAGUGCCUAAAUGAAAGGCGUGCUGGUAUCGAUGGAAGGCAAGAAUUGGGUGAUAAUAGAGAUAUCAACAUUUCCCUUAAUCAAGACAGUAUAAAAUGAAAGUUAUAAAAGGACGGAUAAUUCAGUUCUUAAAAACCAAAUUAAAAUAUUGUCUUAGAUAAGGGACAUGUAAGAUCUGUAAAUCCUGUUUAAAGUGUUGUCGUUUUAAAGUUUUCAUGUCUUGGUUAUUGCAUAACUUUUUUCUUAUAUACUGAAAUGUGGUAAUAUGAGGUAUGGGGGGUACUCAGUUAUGGCAAAUAUUGCCUACAAAAGUGUGUUCAUGUUAUUUGCCUUUCUGUCUCUGUCUAUAUCAACUCCACAUGCUGCUCUGGUGGCCUGCUUUGUACUUAAUAUAACUUGUCAAAACACAUCUAUCAGAUAUAUGAAAAGGCAAACCUGGGUGGCCAGACUAGUCCAAGCCUGGCGUGGAUUGCAUUUUACCAAGACCACAGAAAUCUCUUUUCCUCAAUGCGAUUAAGAUGAAAAGCAGAGUUCAUUGUUGUGCAACCAGAUUUUAAAAUAAUUACAUACAUGCUAGUGCAUUAGUAGGCCAUUUGUGUUUAUUUGAAUCCUACAUAUUGUACUUUUAUGUGGAUCUUAAGUGAUUUUUAAAGCUGUCAGUAAAAAAAAAAAAAAAAAAAAAAGUGAUGUUAUCACUUGUUUUAGGUAGCUUUGUUUUGUUUUUUUUUAAUCCCUUCCUGUUUGCUUCUGUAUACUGAGCUGCUACAAUCCCAGUACCUUAUCUCUUUCCAAGAAAGGUGAGUAUGUAUUACCCUUUGGCUAUUGACUGACAGACUUCUGGCUGUUCUUUGAACCACAGCUAAUGCCACCACAAUAUCUUACAUAUAUGACAUGCUCAGUGUUCACCCUCUGAUUGCCUGAGAACACAUGUUAUAUGAUACAGGCAGGAACGCUGCACAUGGAAUGAAACUCACAGGUUUAUUCUUCUGCUUUCAAUACCUUCUCAUCCUGAAUGUAUAUUGCAGAAUGUAAAUAUGCUUGGUUCAGCAUAUUCACCGAUUUUACAAGUUUUUCCUUCAAAUUUCAAAGUUGAAGUCCUUUUAGGGAAAUCAAGAGUUGCAACAGCAUUAAAACCCUGCACCCCAUACAGCUCAAUUUACAGCAUAUUUAUGCUUACCUUUCCAAUGCACAGGUGGAACAAACUAUUUUAAACAUGACUUUCUGAAGAAAUUUUUGCUUGGAUUUCUCAAAGGAGUCCAAAAUCAUAUUGAAUUUAUGAGCUGAAAAUCACUUCCUCUCCAACCAACAUGGGACACAAUCAUUCUAUAAAAUUGUUGCAGCCUGGGAUCUCCUUGGAAGUGCAAAAUGUGCAAGAGAAUGACCAUGAAAAUAUAUUAACAUUUUUAUCCUGUUUGAGCUGCUAUUACACUUGCAUUCAAAGAAAUGCCUGAAGCACAACUAUUCCGGCACAGCUAGAAUCCUUACAGUCUUAGCUUUCCACAGUCUCAGACUGCAGAGUGAAAAGCAUUGAAAAACACAAGUUUCAUUAAGAAAGAUAACCCUUACCUUCCAGGAGGAUGUAAACUGAGUUUCUACCCGCUGGAGGGACAGGGGCCUGCAGGAGCACAGUGAUACCCAUCAGUGCUUCAGAAUAGUUCCACAUUCUCCUGGCUCACUGGGUGGCUUGGCUUCAAGUGUUGGUUGUAAAGUUAAGGAUUAUCAUUGAGGGCUCUGUAUUUGUGUAAGCGAGGAGAAGAGAGGAAACUGGAGGCAUCCUGCCAAUAUUCUCAAUGCCUGUAUGCUAACUCCACUGGAGGAGAGCAGUGUGAAUGAACUGCUUAGGAGUGGGUUGCAGGAUAUCAUUGUAGUGACACCACAGGCAGAAAAAUUGACACUCAGAGGUAACUUCUUUAAGCUUGGUGGAGACAUAAUAAAGUGGAGUUUUGCUGGCUGUACUGGCACUGAGAGAGUCAGCAGCAAUCAUCUUUCUUCUAAUAACCAAAUGUGCUGAACACAAGCUGGUUAUUGCAAACACAAUUAUUCAGUAAUUGGAUAAGCCUAAAAUAUCUUGGAUACAUCCUUGAUCCAAGAGCUGGCAGCUCACUGAUUAUAUCAUUGUUUGGCAAAGAGGCCUGCAGGCUGCAGGACUCAUAAGAUCCAUACCCAGAGCAGACUGCUGGACCCACUAUCAUGGAAUAGGUUCCAAGUUACUGAUUCAACUACAUUGUUGGAGAACUGGCACAAAUCCUGCUAGGCAUAGACACAAAAUGCUUUAAAGAUCUAAAUAUUAAAGAUCUAAACACUAAACAAGAGCUGUGUAACAGCAUUCUUUCAAGGCUUGCCCGCCCAGGAACAUGAAACAUGCACAAGGUGGUGAAGGAAAAGAGUGGUAGGACUAUAUGGCAUACUGAGGUACUGCUGAUAGAAUUGGUUUUGUCAGAAGUCAACAUCAGAAACAGUUUGAUAUCUCAAUCAAAAAUUUUACUGAGGAAAAUGAAACCAAAUCAAACCAAAAUAACAAAAACAAAAACAAAAAUGACAGAAAAAAACAGACUUAGCUUAUUUUCUGCUUUCUCAUUCUAGAACAAAGAAAAUAUAUUAGAAAAGCAUUAGUCCUAAAGAACAGACAAAAACUGAAGCAGUCAUAAGCUCAGCAAUAGAGUUAGGAAGCUCAUGAAAUUCAGUCUUUUUCAGACCAAUGUAAUAGAAUAAGGAAAAGUGCAGCUAAAGAUGAACAAUGUUUACAUAAUUUGACGAGGCUGGACUAGGAAGCUAUUACUACAGCUAAAUGAGAAGCUAGGCAGAUGAAAACAGAUUUAGAUAAAAUAAACAUAUAUGGGCUAUAAACAUAUAGGGCUACUCUAAGAGUAAUGCCUCCUAUUUUAUCAUGUUGACCUACAAUAUCAGAUGUGAUUGUUGGUGGUUUGACAGUAGAGAUUGAAUCUUCCUGACUAUAUUCCCCUACAUUUUGUUGCUGUGCAACAGAUGGCAGCAGAGGGGCAGUCUGACAAAAUGGCGUCUGACGUGGGGGUGUGUAUGGAUUGAAGGUGUGUCACUGAAUUCCUCUAUGAGAAAAUAAUGACCCAUGGACAUUCACUGAUGCUUGCUGAACAUUUAUGGAGACCAAAGAUUGGACGUGAGCACUGUGAGAUGGUGGAUGGUGCAUUUCAGCAGUGUCAACAUCAACAGUGGGUGGGUGCAGAUUUCUGCUAGCGUGGCAUACAGGCUCUUGUUCAUUGCUGGUGGAAAUGCAUAUCUAAUGGUUGUGACCAUGCUGAAAAGUAGUGUUUUGUAGCUGAGCAUUUGCUCUGUCAAACAGUGUUAUUGUGCUUUUUGUAUCCGUUGCAGUUUCUAUGAAAAGAAAUAGGAGGCAUUACUGUUGGAGUGACAUACAUAUGUAAGCAUCUCUGAAAUACUUAUUUUCCAUUUAUAAGUGAGGGAAGAUAUCUUGAGUUCAAUAAAUAUUGAAGGCAUCUUGUGAUAGACAUAUAUUUCAAUACCUAGGGCAGUUGACAAGUUUUUAAGCCCCACCUGUUUUAGACCUCCAAAAGAUUCAACAAAUGGUCUCAAUUUGGAUAAAAAUUCAAAUGUCCUAGCAAAGUUUAUCUAAUGUAGACAGUACUACUCAAGUGUGUAUGUUCAUAUCUCAAUUAUUCUGUGUGAACACAGGAAAUGGGUCCCCUUGCCAGGCAAGGUAUAGUGUAAGGUUGACAGAAUCAGGAUUUUAGCACGACUGAAAGCUGAUAGUAAAACAGCUUUAUCUGACUUUUUAUCUGUAGUCAUCCAGGGCUAUCAUGCAGUAGCUUCAGAAAAGGUUUCUAAGCUUUAAUCAUUGUCUUCCAGGCUGUAGUCUCUGUCUUAUUUGAAAUAGCUAUCUUCCCCUGAGUGACUUGUCUGGUUGCAUUUGUGGUACCUGACCUACUUUGCAGCACUUCCCUCGGUACCACCUCAUAAUCUGAUGGCCCAAGAAAACACUGUGAAUUGAAACUCACUCCCAAUAAAGGACAAUAAUUAAAUAAAAAUAAAAACACAUUUGACAGCCCACAACAAAGGCAAAUCUCAACAGCUUUUGCAUGUGUCUGCCUGCUGAAUCAAGCAGUAGUUCCUGUCCCCACAGUGCUGCAGGAUGAUGGAUCACCAAAAUGACAAAAAAUCAGAGUAAUAUUUUGCAGUGUAUUCUUUCUCCUCUCUGGAAUCUUGGAGAACAUCAGACACAUUAAUUAAUCAUCUCUAUUUUCCUGAGGUUUACUGUUAGACCCGUUUAACAGGUGGGUAAACCACUGCACAAAAGUGUUGUGACUUGCCUUCUCUGAACUCUACACCUACAUUGGGUCAUGAUGCUCCAGCACUCCAGGCUUUAUUUAGAACAACUCUGUCAUUUCUUUAAUGGUAGGCAAUUUCCCUUCCUUUAGGAUGGAUCUUACAUCCUCACGAUUUGCAAUUUAAAUAUCAUGGGAGAUGAAUGAGUCAAUGGUAAAAUUCCCAUUGAGUUUAAGGAGUGUAAGGACAUGAGAUUUAUUUCUGAAGAGCUUGUGUGCUUGAAAGCAUUUGUUUUUCAUCUCCCCUCUGGCCCACAGUGUUAUUAACCAGUUAAAUAACAGGUGUUGCCUCUCCUAGCAGAUUUGUCCCCUGAUUUGAGCUUUGUGCAACCAGAUUGUCACUCACUUAGCAGAAGACCACAUCAAAUGUGGAAAGGAAAGGUUACUGCCAUUUUAUACAGUACAGUGAAAUAAUUUCCAGUUUCAAUUUUCAAUACUGUUUUGGUCACUUAAACUUUGUUAAUCAAUGAGUUUGUAUUGCAGUAUGAAAGAACAUUCCUGUGGAGGUAAGAUUUCUAAACUUGCACCUGUACCUGAUAGGAUAACAACUAUGGCACCAAAUUACGCCAGCUGAUUGCAAGCCUGUGUCAUGUACCAGUAGAAAUUACCUUAAGCUUUUUCAGCUUUAUAGAUUUUCCUAUAGUGAGGCCAUUCUAUUAAUCAGGGGAUAACACAGUAGUUUCUGCCCAUAGUGUGUGAGCUGCAAUCAAUGGCAUACAAGAUUUCAAAAGCCAUAUUCCAGCAGCUUUCUCACCAGUCACAAGUGUAUGGAGAAAAGUCAUGUGUCCUUAAUCAAACAAAUUAGUAAUGUAGAGUUUAUUUCCACUUGGCGCCAAAAUAGUGAGGACAUUGGCACUUCUCUUCUCCUUCUGUUGUCUCUUUGGCUUAUUUUCUUGUGCCCAGUGUUAGAUGACGGUAGACGCCAGUUUCAGCUCACAGUCUCCUGGACAGUGCCUAGGACAGCUUUCACAAAGAAGAAGGGGGAAGGGGAGAAGCUCACAUGCUGCUGUGUUACCCUUCUUCAUCCCUAUGGGAUUGCCUCUUGUUCUACUGCAGACCUGAGAGGCUGCCUUUUCACUCAGUUGAUUUAAUUUAAUUAGCCUCUGUGAAGCAGAGAUUUAAAGUUGCUAAACCAAAGCUUACAAGAAUCCAGUUGACAAAAUGCAAGGGACAAAAUCAAAAGCUAAUUUUUUGCAAAGUUCACUGUGGACCAGCGUGAAAUACAUGGUAAAGAUCAAAAAGUCUUAGAUAUUUGUCAAGAAUAUGAGGCUUCAAAGACAGGGUAAUUUAGCUUAAUUCUGAAGAGCAUUAGCAGACCCGCAAUAAAGAAUUAAAUCUUGUCUCUUGUGCUUCAGUUAGAUUUUCAGAUAUGCAGUUCUGUAAUUCAGCAAAAUACCACACAGUAUGUGCAAAAUAAUAAUAAAAAUAUUCCUUGACCCAUUUUCUUAAGCUUUAUUCCCAAUUAUCUUUGUUGCUUCUGAAAAGGUUAUUUUUUAUUUCAGGUAUUGAAAUAUCUACAGCUGUUAUACUUCAAAAGUUCCUCCUAUUUUAAAAUAAAUUACAUUUUCUGUUUUUUUUUUUCCCAUUUAAAUCUAUCAAUUUUUUAUUGUAUCCAGUGUGUUCUUCUCUCUCUGAUAUUAGCUCUUUUAAUUUACUUCAGUUGACUCAUUUAUUUUCUUGCUAUCUUCUGAGGUUUGUAACAGUACUAACUGGUCAAUCAAAACACAGCAGGAGCUAAACUCUUCACCUUCACAACUGACAUUCUUUCCUCUUUAGAAGAAGCCAAAUCCUGGCUUCUUCUUUUACCUCUGUCUUCGUGAGGUUUUGGAAACAGUGUCUAUAAUCCUAGAUUCCACACAGCCCCAAUAAUUCCUUAUUUGUAUAACCUCACCAAGGUCAAAGGAUUAAGUGGAUCUCUCUCUCUCACAAGAAUACUUUGUGGAUCCAACUGAGCUGUGUUGAACUGAAAAGUCAUGCUCUAGAAAAUGUGUUUCUUACUAUACAGUCCUUUUCGUGUUACAUUUUACUCUGAGAAGUAAUAAAUGAAGAGCCAGUGACUGUUCAGUAAGUCAAAAAGGAAGAUAAAUAAAACAAUAAUUUAUCAAAUAUUAACUUAUAUUUUUUCUUAUUUUAAGCAUGCUUUUCUGAAAUUCUGGAAGCUGAAUGCUCUGUUUUGUCUACUCUAAUUGAUUUCAUUUUUAUCUCAUACUUUUCAUUGUGGAGUCUAUCAUGCUUCAUCUAAUUCUGAAUGUGGAAAUGAUUGUGAAAUUAACACGUUAGACCAGUACAGCAAACUUGUCUCUCUCUCACAAGUUGCUGCACUCAGUCACUCAGUGCCUUUCUCUCAGUUGAAUUAUGCAGUGGUCAACUCUCUUCCAUACAAUGGGUUUUGCAAGACUGCUGAAUGGAUGUUUUUGGCAUGGUCUCAUUUAGCAGAUAUUCCCAUGUGGUUUCCAUGCAUCCCCAUACUAAUGCUGUUCUCUGUGUAAACACAUGGAUUGCAUUACUCGAUGCCCUUUUGAUCUAAACAUAAAAUAUUUUUUUUUUUAAAUAUCCCAAACUAAUAAGAAGUCGGAUUUCAUUUCAAGCUACUGGGCAACAGCACAGUUUCCCCUCUUAUGGAUCUUUCACCUGUGGCUACAAUCCUAGAUGCAUUCUGAAUCACUCUUUUCUCUUCUGCUGGCACUGGCUCUUCCCUUGAAUUUAUGUGUGUGUCUGUGUGAUUUUUCCCUUACUCUUAUUUUCUGGCUUCAUAACCUCCCAUGAGUCUUCAACCACUGCUAAAAAAUGCCUGCUUGCUUCUGCUGGGUGGGAAAACAUUAAAACACUGGGAAGGAUGGUCAUUCUCUCUUUGCCAGCCUGUUUUUUUGAGGCAGAUUCCCCACUGGUGUAAAUAGCUGAGCUUCUAUGAAUUCAUGUUACUUACACUGAGGAUCUGGGCCUUUGAUUUACUUUUCCCAGCUGUAGCCAUACUGGCUUGUUCAUUUACUUUUAUAACUGUGCCAUUCAAUUCCAUCUGAGCACUACUAUGGUGCUGUGAUUUAGCUUAGACCCUACUUAACACAAAAUUUAUUAUCUUGAUAGAUAAAUGAUUACUGUAUACUAUUUCUCCUAAUAACUUGCAUACUUCUGAUAACAUAAUGUGUUGAGCACAUUGGAUGCAGAAUGGUCCCAGGUGCUUUAUAACAUAGUAUAUGAGCUAUAUAGGAAGAUAACUUUGCUCCCUACUGAAAUGCAGCCAUCUCUGCUGUGAAGCACACAUAACCACACUGCAGAAAAUGUUGGGAUGCAAAGUCGUGUCCAAUUGAAACUGCAAGGGGAAUUUUGUGUAAGUAGAAUAUAAUUACCCAAGCUGGAUGUCAGCCAGGAUUCAGGGAACACCCUGGAUUUUGGAGGAACUGCCAAUGGGAGAUGGAGAUGUUACUACAGGCAUACAUGUUCUCAUUUCUUGAUUAAUUCCAAGAGGAUAAGUUGUUGUCUUUUAAUUUCCUCUUUACUGCUUAUCUUUUUUUUUUAUCAGCUGCUCUUUCUGUAGCCUUAUUAUGCGUCAUGUUCUGAUUUCUCUCUUCUUACAUUUCCUCUCUUACAUUUCACACAUCCCAGUGUUCCCCCCCUCCCCAAACAUUCUUUCAUCCAAAGUCCUAGCAAAAAAGACAAAAUUAUCUGUUUACAUCAUGUUGCUGAAUAAAAUGUUUGCUAUAUGAGGGUAAUAGAUUUCUCCAUAUAAGUACAUACAGAAUUUGCAGAAUCAAAAAUAGUAAAGUAUGUUUGUUAGUUUGUUUUUCCCCUUGAUACUUAAUUUUCUCCCCUCCUUGCCAAGAUCAUGCAAUUGAAGAAUGGUGAAAUACUCUAAAUGUUGUGUCCAUACCAAGACCUCCCCACACACAACCCUCUCCCAAACUGCUUGAGGCUUACACUCAAAUCAUUGUCAGAAACUUUCAACUAGGAAAGGGCUUGAUGCUGGAAAGCCAUGUGAUACUGAGGUGAAUAUAGGAAGUCAGAAAAAUAAACUCUAUAAUUCUUCAUUUCGCAGUAUAAAGCAGAUCUCCACUGGCUCCUGAGCCAUAGCGCCAGGGUGCCUUGGCAGCACACUCUGGCACAGCUAACCUUGGGCAAGGCUUUCACUCCAAAACAUGUCACUGAGUGUCAUGGGCUGUAUUUCAGUGUCUGCUCUACCAGUGAUCAACUGUCCAACACUUUGUUAGAGGCUUAGACCAACUUGAGAGAUUUGGAACAAUCUUUGGAUUCCAUGGGCAAGGACUCACUGUUCAGAGUGGCUGGGAUUACUGUUUGUAUGUUUGUGGAAAAAGAGGUCUCCUUCAUCUGCAGGCAUCAAAAUCUUGGUAAAAAUGAGAAUCUGCUCCCUUAUCUUUCACAGUAACUAUUAAAUAUAUGAAACAUUUAGUGGACAGUAUGCUGGCUGACCCGUGUCUCUCCCGCUCAAAGUAGCAUGUUCCUCUUUACUCUAAUGCAAUUUUUCACUCUACUAAGUGAAAUCAAAUGUCAAAGUUCCCUAAACUUUGCUGGCUGAAAUGUGAUUUUUUCUCCUAACUUUGUUGCAACAUUGUCUCACUUUCUGUGUGAAAUGUUCCACUGUAAUCAAAGGCUGAUGAAAUAUCAAGGCUCGAUUAAUUAUUAUAGUGCCUAGCAGCAGUGCUGGAGUUGGUGGGUGGAGAACUCAUUCCUUUCAAUUUUGCAUUGAGAUCUAUCCUGUAACAUGAGUUCUCAGGUCAAGAUCUCAACAUAUACUUUGUGGAGAGUUUCAUUCAAUCUUCACACAUUAGGAGAUGUGCUCUUCAAUAUCGAUACAGUCCUAAAGUAAAUGUUUAUUUGUUUUACUUUGAAUACCAUCCCCUUUUUUCCCUUACCUGUGCACCUUGAAUCAAUUUGAAAUUUUAGAGUUAAUGUUGUGUUUGCUGAACUGAUUGUCAGAUGGUUUAUGUGCGCAUGAUGAAUCCCUAAUAAAUUGUCAACUAACCAUGCAACCAUGUGAGUGAAGGGGAUGAUGGUUACAACACGAGCUAGUGUAUUUUAGAAUGAAAAAUAGAAAAAUCUUGUCAGUAUGUCCUUCUUGUUCUUGAAGCAAGAGAGAAUCAGAGCUUUCCUUUUGGCUGGAGAUUCGGCAGAUGUUCAUUUUAGUGUACUUAAUUAGAUGCAUUGUCAGUGACAUGAACUUUUGUUAAGGGAAACUAAAAAUACUUGAAUUAUAAACAGAAAUUGAGUGUAAUAAUUGUACAUAUUAUUUACUGGAAAGAGUUGAAUUUAUUAUUAUGGACAUAAUUGUCAUCAGGGUUAUCACUCUUAUUACAGCUUUGCUGAGAUGGUAAUUCCAAAGCCCAGAGGAGACAACUGUGCUAUACAGAAGGUGAACAUAAAAUGAAAAUCAGGUCCCUGAUCCAAACAGUUUGCAAGCUAGGGAAUAAAAAAAAAACCUAUAGUUUCUGAAAGAAGAAUUCAUUUGUGAUUAAAUAUCUUUUAUUUUCUAUCAGAUGAUUUAUAGAUGCUUUUAAAACUCUGGAACUGCUCAAAACUUCAUUGAAAUCAAUGCAAAAGCACAGCUAGGACUGAUUUAUUCCUUGUCAUGUGAAAUCCUACAGUUUAUCCAUACCAGAACCAUUUUCUGUAGAACUAAAACGAAACCACUGCUGGUGUGAAAUACAGCAAGUUUUACACACACGGUUUCUUCCAAAAGAAAAAGAAAGAAAGAAAGAAAGAAAGAAAGAAAGAAAGAAAGAAAGAAAGAAAGAAAGAAAGAAAGAAAGAAAGAAAGAAAGAAAGAAAGAAAGAAAGAAAGAAAGAAAGAAAGAAAAAGGAAAAAGAAAAGUAAACGAAAAAGGCUUGACUAUUUAAUGGCAGAAAACAAACAAGUCUAUCUCACCAAGAUUCCUGGCAGAGUGCGAGCAGAUCUGGCCUAGUGCAAUUCUUGUCUUCUUUUGAGUUUGCUGAGGAUACUGGCAUAAUAUCUCUGUUUUUUUCCAUCUGAUCUCAAGUGACCGCAACUGUUCAGGGCUUUGGUUUUCUCUGAUCUAAAUGAUUGCAGCUCAAGCACCAGAGUGUCCCCAAGCACCAUGCUGGGAGGCUGGCUCCGCACUGACUCAGAGGGAGCAUUCCCAUCUAGCUGACUCACCAGCACUCAAGUGCACUGCCAGCGAUCCAGAUACUAAACUGAUCCUAUCCUCCAUCAUCAUGGGGAGGGGGAGGGAGAACAGAUAAAUUCUUAAAAAUGAAAUACUGAUGGUACUUAGUGCAUCAAUUGGGCCAUUUUGCCAUAUGCAGGAGACCAAACAAAACAAUUUAAAUGUCCAAGUUAUUCAAGUUUGUAAAGCACAUGCUGUGAGAGUUUCUGCUUUUUUUUUUGUUGUUUUGUUUUUUUCCCAUAGGGUUAUUUAUUACAUAUUGCAUCCAGACAAAUUCGUUGUCCUUUCAAUGGGACUGCACAAGUAGGGUUUUCAAACUUAAUUUUUUCCCCUCUAUCUAGACUCUGUGAAAUGUAUGUGAGGAGAGAGUUUGUAUAGUCAUUAUCUUUUAUUAGAUUAACUGAUACAGUUGGUAAAAAACAAGCUUUAAGGCAAAUAAGCUCUUCAUCAGGUUUCAAAUCAUGUAAAGGCAGCAAUGGAAAAGAGCAUACAAUAUGAUUUACUAUUAUUUUUGGGUUUGUUUUCAUGUUAGGUUUGUAAAGUUUCUUUCAAUGUAACAAAUACUGCAUUUGUAGCAGUUUUUUUGUUUGUUUGUUUGUGUCAGAUGCUUUUAUGGUCUACAGAACAAA
ensembl:lncRNA